rnacentral:rRNA from 1 species
AUUGAACGCUGGCGGAAUGCUUUACACAUGCAAGUCGAACGGUAGAGGGGCAACCCUUGAGAGUGGCGAACGGGUGAGUAAUGCAUCGGAACGUGCCCAGUCGUGGGGGAUAACGCAGCGAAAGCUGCGCUAAUACCGCAUACGAUCUACGGAUGAAAGCGGGGGACCGUAAGGCCUCGCGCGAUGGGAGCGGCCGAUGUCAGAUUAGGUAGUUGGUGGGGUAAAGGCCUACCAAGCCAACGAUCUGUAGCUGGGCUGAGAGGACGACCAGCCACACUGGGACUGAGACACGGCCCAGACUCCUACGGGAGGCAGCAGUGGGGAAUUUUGGACAAUGGGCGCAAGCCUGAUCCAGCAAUGCCGCGUGCAGGAAGAAGGCCUUCGGGUUGUAAACUGCUUUUGUACGGAACGAAACGGUCCGGGUUAAUACCCUGGGCUAAUGACGGUACCGUAAGAAUAAGCACCGGCUAACUACGUGCCAGCCGCCGCGGUAAAAC